UGGGGAAUUUUGGACAAUGGGCGAAAGCCUGAUCCAGCAAUGCCGCGUGUGUGAAGAAGGCCUUCGGGUUGUAAAGCACUUUUGUCCGGAAAGAAAUCCUUGGCUCUAAGUACAGCUCGGGGGAUGACGGUACCGGAAGAAUAAGCACCGGCUAACUACGUGCCAGCAGCCGCGGUAAUACGUAGGGUGCAAGCGUUAAUCGGAAUUACUGGGCGUAAAGCGUGCGCAGGCGGUUUGCUAAGACCGAUGUGAAAUCCCCGGGCUCAACCUGGGAACUGCAUUGGUGACUGGCAGGCUAGAGUAUGGCAGAGGGGGGUAGAAUUCCACGUGUAGCAGUGAAAUGCGUAGAGAUGUGGAGGAAUACCGAUGGCGAAGGCAGCCCCCCUGGGCCAAUACUGACGCUCAUGCACGAAAAGCGUGGGGAGCAAAACAGGAUUAGAUACCCUGGUAGUCCACGCCCUAAACGAUGUCAACUAGUUGUUGGGGAUUCAUUUCCUUAGUAACGUAG
rnacentral:rRNA from 1 species